GCAACGCGAAGAACCUUACCUGGUCUUGACAUCCACAGAACUUUCCAGAGAUGGAUUGGUGCCUUCGGGAACUGUGAGACAGGUGCUGCAUGGCUGUCGUCAGCUCGUGUUGUGAAAUGUUGGGUUAAGUCCCGCAACGAGCGCAACCCUUAUCCUUUGUUGCCAGCGGUCCGGCCGGGAACUCAAAGGAGACUGCCAGUGAUAAACUGGAGGAAGGUGGGGAUGACGUCAAGUCAUCAUGGCCCUUACGACCAGGGCUACACACGUGCUACAAUGGCGCAUACAAAGAGAAGCGACCUCGCGAGAGCAAGCGGACCUCAUAAAGUGCGUCGUAGUCCGGAUUGGAGUCUGCAACUCGACUCCAUGAAGUCGGAAUCGCUAGUAAUCGUGGAUCAGAAUGCCACGGUGAAUACGUUCCCGGGCCUUGUACACACCGCCCGUCACACCAUGGGAGUGGGUUGCAAAAGAAGUAGGUAGCUUAACCUUCGGGAGGGCGCUUACCACUUUGUGAUUCAUGACUGGGGUGAAGUCGUAACAAGGUAACCGUAGGGGAACCUGC
rnacentral:rRNA from 1 species